GCGAGGGUGGUGAAAUUGGUAGACACGCCAGACUUAGAAUCUGGUGCUUUUGGCAUAAGGGUUCAAGUCCCUUCCUUCGCA
rnacentral:tRNA from 1 species